UACGGAGGGGGCUAGCGUUAUCCGGAAUCACUGGGUUUAAAGGGUGCGUAGGCGGUGGGGUAAGUCAGUUGUGAAAUGCCCCGGCUUAACCGGCGGAAGUGCGAUUGAUACUGCAUCACUUGAAUCGGGAUGAGGCUGGCGGAAUGUGGUAUGUAGCGGUGAAAUGCUUAGAUAUGCCAUAGAACACCAAUUGCGAAGGCAGCUUGCUGGUCCCGUAUUGACGCUGAGGCACGAAAGCGUGGGGAGCAAACAGG
rnacentral:rRNA from 1 species